CAGCGGAUCUUCUUGACCCAGGAAUCGAACCGGGGUCCUUUGCAUUGCAGGUGAAUUCUUUACCAACUGAACUGUGAGGGAAGCGAUAUUGUGUAGAUUUUAUAGCAAGGAGAAUCUGGCCUGGGUAACUAGUACAUUUGAGUCUGGUGUUAAGGAUAGGGCAAGAUUAUAGAUUUCAUCCUGUAUUGGCCAGUUAGCUCAGUACACAUUCAAACUGUUCCAAGCUGCAUUUACAGGUUUCAUCUGUACCCUUAUGUCCAGCAGACUAGUUUAUAAUAAGUGGACUUGGUCACCAAAAUGAUAUGACUAUAAGCUCAUCUCUGCUCUUGCCUGGGAAAUCCCACGGUCAGGCUACAGUGCAAAAAAAUUGGACAUGACUGAGUGGCUAAACAACAACAGCUAGUUAGAAAACAGCCCUGUGUUUGGUAGCACUGAUUGUGGUGACUUAACAGAGGUCCUGAGAUGUGACUUUUGACAUUUUCCCUUUAGAAACUGUAUCUCCUGGGUGUUGGGAACGUUCUGGAUCUUGAUCUGGGUGAUGGUUACAUGAGACUCGUGAAAAAUUCAUCAAGCUGCAUACUUAAAACUUGUAUAUACUAUUUAGUUAUAUGAAAAUUAUUCUCCAAUUAAAGAAAAAAAGAAAUUAUAACCAUGCAGAAAUUAUAAUCAGAUUACCGUUUUAACUCAGCCAUCCCAACUACUUCUGCCUUUCUGGCUGUUUCUAAAUGACCACAGAGACGGGCCACACAGCUGGUAAGGGACAGAGCUGGGGUUUAAUCCAGCUCUUACUCACUCAGUGUGGAGUGUGACUUUCACUGGGAACUCUUCCAAUGCCUAGGAUCUGCCUGAACCAUGUGGCGAAUGAGUACUGGGGCUGGUCUAGGGGCUCAGGUCUCCUGGACCUGGGGUGCAUGCUCUGUCCGUCCUGUGCCCCUCUUUACCCCUAGCUCCCAGCAUUGUACUGGUCGUGUAGUAGAUGGCCAGUAAAUAUUUGUUGAGUCGGUGUUACCAGAGCAGAGUUAUUGCCAAAGGCCAAGCAGACUGCCCAGUUGGCAGUUGCUGGAAAAACCAAGGCAGGAAACUCAAUUCUUAUUUUUUCCCCAUGGCAACACCAAUGGCUGUUGGUCUGUCACAAGUGCACGGAAAGUUCCCACUGGAGAUAUCAGAGCUCUCUGGCAGGACCCGUAGGUGUUAAUUUUAGCUUUCAAUGACUGAUGCCCUUGUAUAAUUUAAUGGGUCAGGAGGAGCAUGAGCGAAAGCCAAGAUUACUCACUCGGAGAGCUUUUCCUUUCCUGUCGAGUACUUGCUGAGUUAUUCAGUUUGUAAAGGACUUGCCACUUAUUCAUUUAUUUGGAGAGAGUUUCCACUCUUUUGAGUCUAGCUUGAUAACUAUAAAUGAUUCCUUAAAUCUAUUAGCAAUCUAUCCUAUCAAUCCUGUUUUCCCUGAGUUUAUGCAUUAAACAUGAGUUCAACUCACAGCGUCAAAUGCUAAAAGGCUAUAGAUAUAACCAUAAAAUAAAAUGCUGGCAUGUCCCUAUGUACUCUGAGUUGAAAGAUACAUAGGUUGAAUGUCAAUUACUUGAAACGAGGAAGUGAAUAUCCACAGGGGUUUCCGUGUCUACCCCAUUCUACUACUUGAGUCCUGGUAGGAAAUGAGGACUUGCAUAUUGAGGAGAGAGGCUUGUGCUUCUGGAGAAAUAAUAUCUCAGCUGCCAAUUGCAGCUUCCCUGGGGUCACUGGGGAUAGGACUCUAGCUGAGCACAGAUUCAUGCAUUUGACUUUGUGCAUCCUCUACUCCCACACUGUAUGUAACCCAUCACACCGGGCCUCAGGUGCAUCAGCUGUUGGAGGAGCUUUCUGAGCUUUUGUCUGGUGGUGGUCCCUGCUGGUCCACAGAACAGCUUCAGCGGACUGUGUUCUUUGCUUGUUCAGUGGGCUUUGUCAAAGUCUUUGAAUAUUUUAUUGCAUCCUUCCCUAAUUAAUUUUGGAAAGUCAGUAGAAAAUGGUGAAAGAGGAUCACAGACUUCAUGAAUGCAAUGUAAUAGAAAUAGAAAGGAAUCAUUAGAUGCUGUGAAAGUGUGGGUCUUUAGAUUCAACCAGAUACCGAAAGAAAUCAAACUGCCCAACUGUGGACCCAAUCAUGAAGGACAAGAAUGAUAAUAAACAAUGUGGAUGAGGUGCUAAAAUACAAUAGUAUAAAUAAAUCUGAGGUAAGCAAACAGGUUAACGGGGAAAUCUCUGUGUAAAAGUAUUUGACUAUACUGUCUAUAAAAGAAGGCAGGAUAGAAUUAGGAUAUGUCAUGUUGUAAACCUCUGAUGAAAUUAUGGAUUUCAUCAAAGGUCACCUCAUCAUCAAUGGCUAAUAGAAGGCAUUGUCUUUGGUUUUCAUUAGUUUUACUGAUUUGCCUAGAAAUGCUUUUUUUUGUUGUUGUAGUUAUUUAUCAUGCUUGACUCUGUGGUUUGAUGUCUCUUGUCAUUUUAGAAAAUUCUCAGUCUAUCUUCAAAUAUCACCCCUCUUUAUCCCCUCCAUCAUCUUGCCCCCACUCCAGUUAUACCUCUGUUAGAUCUUACAGUGAGCUCCACAUGUUUCGUAUGCACGUUUUUGCAUUGUUCAUGCUUGCGAUCUGGUCCAGUGUUCAGACUAAAUCUGAUUUCCCUUUCUCUCAGGGUAUAGACCUGAGGUCUCAGUUGAAAGCUUUUAUCAGUCCCGAGCCUCAGAAAGCCUCAAGGCCCCUCCUCUCCGGCAGGCCUGGGAUUCUAAUUUUUUGCAUCUCUAGCAGUAUGGCUUGCGUUAGUUUCCUGGCAUUGCUGUAACAAAUUACCACAAACUUGGUGGCUUAAAAACAAUAGAAAUUUAUUCCCCCGCAGUUCUGGAGAUCAGGUAUCAAGAUGUCAUGAGGGCCAUGCUCCCUCUGAAAGCUCUCAGGAAGAAUCCUUCCAUGCCUCUUCCAUCUUCUGGUGGCCCCAGGCAUUCCUGGAUUUGUAGCUGCAACACCCUGAUCGCUGGCUCCAUUCUCACAGGGUCUCUUCCUGUGUGUCUCUGUGUCCUCCUCUCUUCCUAUAAGGAGGCCAGUCAUGGAAUUUAGGGCCCACUCUGAAUCACAGUGGGCUUCCCUAGUGGCUCAGGAAGUAAAGAAUCUGCCUGCAGUGCCGGAGACCCGGGUUCUAUCCCUGGGUCAGGAAGAUGCCCUGGAGAAGGGAAUGGCAACCUGCUUCAGUGUUCUUGCCUGGGGAAUCCCAUGGACAGAUGAGCCUGGUGGUCUAUGGUCCAUGGGGUCACAAAGAGUCGGACACAACUGAGCGACUAACACUGAAUCAGGAUAAUUUCAUCUCAAGAUAAACUAACUACUUACGUGUCCAGGUUUCUGCUCCCACCUUCUGCUCUGCCUGCUUUGCCUGAGUUUGGGGACUCCACAAAUGGAAGAUUUGGAGACAAAAGUAUUUAGAAAAGAAGUGUACUUGAAAAAGAUCUGCUAAGAAUCUCCACGGGCUAAAAGGAUUAGAUCAUCAAAAAAAUAUACAUGUAUCUAAAGGUACAAUGUGUUUUUUCCUUUCUGACUAUGAGAUGAGGUGUGUAUGAUUACCCAAAGUGAGAUGCCAUUUCACUUCUACAGUUCCACCUGGUGGUCAGGUUUCUGGUCCUGAGGCACAUAUUUAACCAUGUGGGAAAACAUGGACUUACACCCAACGCUGCUCAUAAAUGGAAGAGCCUUGUUCCCUACCCUACAGGCGGUCCUGAGGAUGGAACAGCUCCCUGGACACGAGAAGCGGGAGGACACUGAUUCCCUUUAAGAUGGACUGGUUGGAUCUCCUUGCAGUCCAAGGGACUCUCAAGAGUCUUCUCCAGCACCACAGUUCAAAAGCUUCAAUUCUUUGGGCAAUUGGAAAAUGCCAUCCACCUCAAGAUAUGUUGACAGUUUAGUCCCUUGAACCUGUGAGUGACACCAUGUUUGGUAAAAGGAUUUUGAAGGUGUAAGUUGAGCAUCUUGAGAGGAGACCGUCAUCCUGGAUCAUCCAGUUCAGUUCAGUUCAGUUGCUCAGUUGUGUCUGACUCUUUGCGACCCCAUGGACUGCAGCACACCAGGCCUCCCUGUCCAUCACCAACUCCCAGAGUUUACCCAAACUUGUGUCCAUCAAG